CAGUAGCCACGGUAAUACGUAGGGUGCAAGCGUUAAUCGGAAUUACUGGGCGUAAAGCGUGCGCAGGCGGUUAUAUAAGACAGAUGUGAAAUCCCCGGGCUCAACCUGGGAACUGCAUUUGUGACUGUAUAGCUAGAGUACGGCAGAGGGGGAUGGAAUUCCGCGUGUAGCAGUGAAAUGCGUAGAUAUGCGGAGGAACACCGAUGGCGAAGGCAAUCCCCUGGGCCUGUACUGACGCUCGUGCACGAAAGCGUGGGGAGCAAACAGGAUUAGAUACCCCCGUAGUCCCUGUCUCUUAUAC
rnacentral:rRNA from 1 species